rnacentral:tRNA from 1 species
GAAGGUGCAGCUCAGCGGUAGAGCGCGUGCUCAGCACGCCUGAGGUCCUGGGUUCAAUCCCCAGCACCUCCU